rnacentral:rRNA from 1 species
UACGUAGGGUGCGAGCGUUGUCCGGAAUUAUUGGGCGUAAAGAGCUUGUAGGUGGUUUGUCGCGUCUGCUGUGAAAAUCCGAGGCUCAACCUCGGACUUGCAGUGGGUACGGGCAGACUAGAGUGUGGUAGGGGAGACUGGAAUUCCUGGUGUAGCGGUGGAAUGCGCAGAUAUCAGGAGGAACACCGAUGGCGAAGGCAGGU